UUGGAGGGCAAGUCUGGUGCCAGCAGCCGCGGUAAUUCCAGCUCCAAUAGCGUAUAUUAAAGUUGUUGCAGUUAAAAAGCUCGUAGUUGAAUUUCGGGACUAGUACGUUGGUCGUGCCUUAGGUACGUACUGGUGUUACUGGUUCCUACCUUCUGACGAACCAUUAUGUCAUUAAUUUGGUGUGGUGGGGAAUCAGGACUGUUACUUUGAAAAAAUUAGAGUGUUUAAAGCAGGCUCGCGCUUGAAUACAUUAGCAUGGAAUAAUGAAAUAGGACGUUG
rnacentral:rRNA from 1 species